rnacentral:sRNA from 1 species
AGGGCGGGCGGGCGCCUGGCCAGCCUGGGACGGCGGCUCCCAGGCUCCUGCCACCGCCUGGAACUGCGGGGGGCGCGCCGGCCACAGUCGCCCUCGCCUGCUCUCCGCCUUCUUGGGCCAGCUUGGUCCCAGGUGGACGCGAGUCGAGCUGGGCACACCUGGGCCAGCGCCGCACUUACCUGCGGGAUUGGUGAGAGCGUUUUCGCGAGGCCGCAAACUCCGGGUAAUCAAAAACUCAGAAUUUCUGUAAUAGAAGAAAUGGUUUGGGAAGGAGCCAAAAUUAUUGGUAUUCUGAAUAUUUCAUUAUAUCAUAUAGAGACUAUGAAGGGUCUUAUUAAGAUUGCUAUGCUAUGCCUUGUAUGACUAAGACCUUUUACCAAGAAUACGUGUCAGACCAUAAAACCACUGCCAAGGAGUGUAGGGGUGGCAAUGAAACAGCCCAACAGGAAAAGGAA